rnacentral:rRNA from 1 species
UAGCAUAUCAAUAAGCGGAGGAAAAGAAACCAACCGGGAUUGCCUCAGUAACGGCGAGUGAAGCGGCAAGAGCUCAAAUUUGAAAGCUGGCUCCUUCGGGGUCCGCAUUGUAAUUUGCAGAGGAUGCUUCGGGUGCGGCCCCUGUCUAAGUGCCCUGGAACGGGCCGUCAGAGAGGGUGAGAAUCCCGUCUGGGAUGGGGUGUCCGCGCCCGUGUGAAGCUCCUUCGACGAGUCGAGUUGUUUGGGAAUGCAGCUCUAAAUGGGUGGUAAAUUUCAUCUAAAGCUAAAUACUGGCCGGAGACCGAUAGCGCACAAGUAGAGUGAUCGAAAGAUGAAAAGCACUUUGAAAAGAGAGUUAAAAAGCACGUGAAAUUGUUGAAAGGGAAGCGCUUGCGACCAGACUCGCCUCCAGGGUUCAGCCGGCAUUCGUGCCGGUGUACUUCCCUGGGGGCGGGCCAGCGUCGGUUUGGGCGGCCGGUCAAAGGCUCCCGGAAUGUAGUGCCCUCCGGGGCACCUUAUAGCCGGGAGUGCAAUGCGGCCAGCCUGGACCGAGGAACGCGCUUCGGCACGGACGCUGGCAUAAUGGUCGUAAACGACCCGUCUUGAAACACGGACCAAGGAGUCUAACAUCUACGCGAGUGUUCGGGUGUCAAACCCGUACGCGCAGUGAAAGCGAACGGAGGUGGGAGCCCCCUCGUGGGGCGCACCAUCGACCGAUCCUGAUGUCUUCGGAUGGAUUUGAGUAAGAGCGUAAAUGUGGGGACCCGAAAGAUGGUGAACUAUGCCUGAAUAGGGCGAAGCCAGAGGAAACUCUGGUGGAGGCUCGCAGCGGUUCUGACGUGCAAAUCGAUCGUCAAAUUUGGGUAUAGGGGCGAAAGACUAAUCGAACCAUCUAGUAGCUGGUUCCUGCA